AUCAAAACAAGCACUACAGCUGAGCGGGCCUUUGCAGUCACAGGCUUGCUGAUGAAAAGAUUUGUGGAGACCGCCUAAUGAAGUGUUCAGAAAGCAUUCUGUGUGUCAUCUGUUUUCCUGACAACCUCCUCAUUGGUUGGUAUACUAUGUUCUAGUUUAUGAACAUCCUCAUUUGUCAUCACUGUCCCAACUCGGACCCACCACCCUUGUUAUAAAGUUACAAUUCUAGCUGCCUAACAUGACUCCAGGCAUACCACGUUUUAUUGUACUUUGCUGGGCUGUGUUUUGCAGAUACUGUGGUUUUUUUUUUUUUUUUUUUUUUUUUUUUACAAAUUGAAGGUUCAAGACUUCAGUGGGGGAAGUAACUGCAGAUGUGAAAAUUAGCAAGAGAACUGGAAUUAGAAAUGGAGCCGGAAGAUGUGACUGAAUUGUUGCGAUGUCAUGAUAAAAUGUGAACGGAUGAGGAGUUGUUUCUUAAGAAUGAGCAAAGAAAGUAGUUUUUUGAGAUGGAAUCUACUCCUGGUGAAUAUGCUCUGAAGAUUGUUGAAAUGACAACAAAGGAUUUAGAAUUUACAUGAACUUAGUUGAUAAAACAGCGACAGGGUUUGAGAGGAUGGGCUCCGAUUUUGAAAGAAAUUUUACUGUGGGUGAAAUGCAGUCAAACAGCAUCACGUGCUACACAGAGAAAUCAUUCAUGAAUGGAGGAGUCUAUCGAUGUGGCAAACUUUAUUGUUGUCUUGUUUUAAGAAAUUGCUACAGCCACCCCACCUUCAGCAACCCCCACCCAGAUCACUCAGCAGCCAUCCACACUGAGGCAAGACCCUCCACCAGCAAAAGGAUUAUGACUCUCCAAAAGCUCAGAUGAUGGAGUUUACUGUCUAGAAGAAUCAGUCAACUUAUCUUGGCAAAUCCGGAUCUGCAGAAUCCAGGAUGUCCCUCAAUUUGAAGAAUCCAGAUCUGCAGAAUGUCCCUCGAUUUGGCUUCCUCAUGAGUAGAUUCAGCUCAUGCAUUUCUGUUGAGAAACUGUGCAGAUACGACAGCGCUCUCCUCAAGGAAUGAACUCUACAGAGGCAAUGGGAUCAUUAUUUGAGUCUUACUUCUUAGAUCAUGGAGCUUAUUGGCACCCUACUGCCGUGAUUCUCUGGACAGCAUUAGAUCUUUGAGAUCCCGAUGGACCAUGAGUCUCGCAAGCCUGAGGCUCUGGAGCUGCAACCAGGCUUCCCACACUAGCGGUGUACUUGUUUUCAGACUCACCAAGACCAACGUAAACUCUCUAAGAACCCCAACUGGAAGCAUGGACCCCUGGAUGCCUGAAGUUAUCUUUAAUAUUCUCAGAACACCAUCUAGGAGUCGCAUGAUGUAGAUGAACGACAUGCAGGGUCCCCUACAGGGUCACUUACAAAAAACCUGUGUGAAGGCAUGACUCCAAGUAACAAUACCAAAGUACCUUAAUCCUUGUAUCGACAACUGUUCUAUUGGGUUACACAGUUUUAAUCCCAGAGGAGUUGUCUCUUGACAUUAAACUGUCCAAACAGUAUUUAUAUCUGCGGCUGCCCUGCAAGAUCACUUAACCCUGCACAGCCGUUUAAAAGUAGUUAAUGACAGACCCGGCAUGACUUGCCCCUUAUGAAUGAUCACAUAAGUUCGACCUGUGCUGUCAUGGUUUAUGGAGGAAGGCAGUUUGUCCAUAGCCUGCUUCAACCACAGCAGGUAAUUUGAAAUGAAAUGAGACAGUUUCUACAAGCAGAUUGAUUUGGGAAUCUUGCCUGUUCUUCCCUUUGACCCUUGACAAGUUGACACUACAAAGAUUGUGACUUUAAAAAAUGAUUGGGUGCAAAUACAUUUAGGUAGAUGAUUUACUGUGUGCCGAAGCAAGGCCAGUGCCUUUCGGGUGUAACUGUGAGGAAAGGUAAUUGUCAACUUUAACAACUCGUGUUUUAUGUUUCUGUAUUUUAUUAAUUAUCCUACCAGCAGAUCUACUAAUAACCCUUAAUCAAGUGCUUUAGAUUCCUGGUGACAGUCUAGGUACCCAAUCUCAAGAUUAAGAGAUACGGUAUUGAUGAUAAACUUAUUCAAAGUACUGAUUCAGUGUGUUGUUUUGGUCGAAAACCCCAGCUUUGCACGUAAGAGUAAGAAAUCGAGUUCUCUUUCAUGGAUCUCACUUCUUUCCCUCCUUCUUUCUUUUUGUAAAUAUGGUUAAUCGUGUGCAGGAGGAAACACUGUGAUUAAAAGGCUGAUAGGUUUCAUUUUUGAUACUCAAAGAGUUACCAGAAAUAUCAAAAAAGAAAAUCCCAGCUAUGCAUUACGAAAUGCUUUUUUCCCCUAAUCUUUUGUAAUCACAUUAGAUUUUCACAAUGAAUCGUAUGUGAUAUUUAAACAUAGUUUAUGUAUUAUUUACUUAUUUUAGAUUUCUGUAUCUUGUUUUUUCCCAAAAUUUUUAUUUAAAUUCUAGUUAGUUAACAUUCAGUGUAAUAUUGGUUGCAGGAGCAGAACACUUACACGUAACACCCAGUGCUCAUUGUGACAAGGGCCGUCCUUUAUACCCAUCCCCCACCUAACCCAUCUCCCACCCACCUCCCUCCAUUUUCAUAUUAUUUUGACUGUAUUCUUCUGAUGCAGUCUUUUUUUUCUCUCAGAUGGGAUGUUCUGUCACCAAUAAUGUUACCAUACACAGAACUGAGAUGUCAACUGUUUUCCAAACAACAUUAAAAAACCACCAUCAGGAAGAUUAUUUUUAAAAGGUGGUUAUUUCAGUUCACAAUUAUGCACUAUUUAUGCCUGCAUGAUUUUAAAUGAACUUUGCAAUAGAACUGCUGAUUUACCAACGUUUGGAUUUGUGUUGAAGUGCCCACGCUUCUUAACAAUUUGCCAUAGAACUUGGGCUCUUCUCCACAGCUUUUGUGUUUCUCUCUAUUCUAACCACUUUGUUUGAAAUAUAAUUUUGAAGAUGCUAGUAAAAAGUAUAACAAAUUCCCUAUUGGUCUCUGUUUAAAUUAUUUACUACCCUUUUGAGCCAUAUCUUCAUUGAACUAUGUUAAAAGUAUUUUGCUGGAAUGUUUCUUUAUGUUGUCCAUCGGGUUUAAUAGACGUGCCAUUUAAUAAGCUCUCCACCUGUAAGGAUAGACUAUUUGACCUCUGUGCCCUGCCACUGGUAGACAUAGUAUAAGAUUGCUUUGUGAAAUAAAGCUGUCGGUAACAUCAACAAAAUAAAAAAUGAUCGUAUUCCAAUACUCUCUGCUGAGUACUAUG